AUUUAUAUUCGAACUUUUGACUUCGAUUUCAAAACAUGUUCGUUUCUCUGAUAUGAAAUAAAGAUCUUUUGAGAGUAACGAGCGAUCGAGAGACUCAAUUCACGAGGAUUAUUAACGCGGAUGGUCGUUCUACUUUUCGGAGGUGUGCAAUUGGAUGGCUUCAAUCGUGCCGACGGAAGUCGUUAAUGUCCUGCGAGUAGUGUAUAUGAUGCAGGUGACGACCCAGUUUUAUGUCAAACGGGUAUAUUUGAGAAAUUUCAUUAAAACUUCGAUGCUUUUAUUCAAGAUAAACGAUAACGAUAAUAGUUAAUUUGACAUUUUUCAAUGAACGAGAUUAAGUGAUUCGAAGUGCGUUUCGAUUAAAACAGGAAUUUUUUGUUCUCGACCUCAUUAUUGAUCAAUCUCAAAUUUUGAUUAAUGAUUCGGAAAAUAUCAGUUUUAACAAAAUUUGUGGAAAUUUUUAUCGAAUAGCGAUGUAUAUACGAGAAUUAUAAGCAGAGGUUACAAGAGUCAGAGGAUACAAGCGACAGGAAGUCCAUUGUAUAAAGUUACGUGUAUGUAUGCUUUAUGCUUUUAGGAUAUAUAUAAUUGCGCGACAUUACUUUUAUAUAAUUAAUCAGCAAGCACAAAUUGGUAUACUUUUUCAACCACAAACAAAUAAUGAAAUCAUUACGAUAAUUAGAAAAUUAGAAUUUAUCUGACGUUAUCUUGCAUAGACAUUCUGACAGCUAAUUCGAAUGUCAGAUGCGAAAGAGGUUAAUUGUAAGGAAUUUUGCUCGACUAGUAGUCACUCUUCAACUAUGUAACUUCUUUUUACAGUAAUUAACAGCGUAAAAUAUCAUUUAAAAUAAGAAUAACGAUUUAACGUAUGCAUAUGUACGUUUUAUAGUAAUGACUGAAGUGUAGCUGACAUAUCGACUGAUAUAAACUCGACAGAGGAAAAUAUUCGUUGCAUAAUGUUUCUAAUGCACUUGCCAAGCGGCGCUAAGAUAACAAAAUAAUGCCGAUAAUUGCAAUACUGCGCAGUAGAAUAAUGUUGGCUUUAUAAAGAGGGAGAACAUUUACGUAAAAAGAAAUUUUACGUAAUAUUAUAAUAGUACUCUAUCAUUUGAGCUAGUCAAUGGAUGAUCAGUGUUAGAGUUAGGAAACAGCCAAGCUUUUCGAAGCCCAACCUGUUGCUCUUGUAUAUUAUUAUUCCUAUUGUAAUCGCUUUAUUUUCUAUUGUUAAAGUAUAAUUUAAACAACAUUCUCAAACAAAAUUCGUGUAUCGAUAUUUAAAGAAACUUUUCUAUGUAUUAAAAUUCAUUCGUUUAGAAGAAAAAUUAUAUAUAUAUAAUGAAGAAACGCGAUCUAUACCGUUUCACUAUCUUGUGUGCGGAUACGAAAGAAGUUCGUUUCGUGACUUUAUAUUCUUUGGCUUCGACGAAGGUAUAAGGCUGGCUUCCAAAAUAAGUAUCUUACUGAAAAUUUGGAUACACAACUGCGCAGUUCCUGGCAUCCUAAUUAAUUUUUAAAGUAUCCUAAGGUUAUCCGAAAACCAACCAAACGAUUAAUUUUAUAUGUAACAAUUUUACUGUGCAAUGGAAUAUCGUAUUAAUAUCUAUAUUUUGUUUUAAUAAUUGCGAUGUUAUUUAAUUACAUAUCGAAACUCGUUAUCAAUAUUUUUACUCUUUUAAUUUAUUCCUUUAUCAUUAAUUUCGUUCUUGUUACAUGAUCUCAUAACAUUGUAGAGAUUUCUUUUAUGUUUCAAACAUUAUACGAGUCCAUUUAAAUGGUUCGUUAUAACAUGGUACACAUCGUUAAGAUGUACACGCGAUCGCUGAUACGGUUGUAGUACAAAAUGAUCUAGAAAAUGUAUAUAUCAAUGAAUGCAUUUGGAUGAGUAAGAGGAUCAUUAAUCGUGACAAAUUCUCGCGCAUCAUUUAGCAAAAGUUUCAUACUCCUAAUAGGAAUUCCAACUUUUACCGAUCGUUAUGCAAUCAUAUAAAGAAUUCUAAACACGACCUUUUCGGGUCACGAUAACGAAGCGAUAGAUUAUUUACAUUCUCGAUAUAUAUAUAUACUCCAUUCUCAUGGUUAUUUUUUCUUCAACACCAUAUGACACGUGGUUCUUCAUGAAUUUAUUGCGCAAAAGAUUGAAAUAGAAUACGCGUGGACAGAUAAGAUCGAUCGGAGAAAGAACGAUUUAUGGGACCGAUAAGAUAUUAGGGAAACGAGAUUUCGUUACUGUUGCAUCGCCAUGCUUUUGCUUUGGAUAUAUUACUCCGGAGUUAGGAAAGAAUAAUAAGUUCUGAUAGUGGAUAUCACAAUGUCACGCUUUUACUUGUGAGUGAAUUAAUUCGACGGAAUAAAUUAAUGAUGAGAUUGCGGCUGGAGGUGUAUGUAUUUAUACACAC